rnacentral:rRNA from 1 species
UCUACCUGGGAACUGCAUUCGAAACUGGCAGGCUAGAGUCUUGUAGAGGGGGGUAGAAUUCCAGGUGUAGCGGUGAAAUGCGUAGAGAUCUGGAGGAAUACCGGUGGCGAAGGCGGCCCCCUGGACAAAGACUGACGCUCAGGUGCGAAAGCGUGGGGAGCAAACAGGAUUAGAUACCCUGGUAGUCCACGCCGUAAACGAUGUCGAUUUGGAGGUUGUGCCCUUGAGGCGUGGCUUCCGGAGCUAACGCGUUAAAUCGACCGCCUGGGGAGUACGGCCGCAAGGUUAAAACUCAAAUGAAUUGACGGGGGCCCGCACAAGCGGUGGAGCAUGUGGUUUAAUUCGAUGCAACGCGAAGAACCUUACCUGGUCUUGACAUCCACAGAACUUUCCAGAGAUGGAUUGGUGCCUUCGGGAACUGUGAGACAGGUGCUGCAUGGCUGUCGUCAGCUCGUGUUGUGAAAUGUUGGGUUAAGUCCCGCAACGAGCGCAACCCUUAUCCUUUGUUGCCAGCGGUUCGGCCGGGAACUCAAAGGAGACUGCCAGUGAUAAACUGGAGGAAGGUGGGGAUGACGUCAAGUCAUCAUGGCCCUUACGACCAGGGCUACACACGUGCUACAAUGGCAUAUACAAAGAGAAGCGACCUCGCGAGAGCAAGCGGACCUCAUAAAGUAUGUCGUAGUCCGGAUUGGAGUCUGCAACUCGACUCCAUGAAGUCGGAAUCGCUAGUAAUCGUAGAUCAGAAUGCUACGGUGAAUACGUUCCCGGGCCUUGUACACACCGCCCGUCACACCAUGGGAGUGGGUUGCAAAAGAAGUAGGUAGCUUAACCUUCGGGAGGGCGCUUACCACUUUGUGAUUCAUGACUGGGGUGAAGUCGUAACAAGGUAACCGUAGGGGAACCUGCGGUUGGAUCACCUCCUUACCUUAAAGAA